CAUGGGGGUAAAAGUUCCAGGCACUAAGUAUUCUUUUUGGUGUGAACGCGACAUAAGGGGUACUAACGGAACUAAACGUGAAAAGUACGGGGGAAAGUACUCCGGUGUGAGCGCGGCUAAUGACUGCAGGGAAGAUGUAGGACAUCUGGGUUCAUCUGGGUACAUCUGGGUAAAUGAAAUGAGAUCGGAACAAAUAGUUAAAUGUCCUAAAUGGAGCAUGUGUCCGUCUGCAGGUAGCUGUCUUAGCUUCACGUCACUUUGGACGAAUACAAUACGUUGGAAGUGGAUGAACUAAUCUAAAUGUUGCAGGAGCCGGGAUGAUCCGCUCGCUGCAGAUUAGGUCCAGUUUAUUUAGAAAAGCUGAAGUUGAGUUGUCGUCUGGUUAGGAGGAGGUGUAAGAAGAGGAGCAUCAGCUGAGAGCUAGUUCAGACCCUCCUGCAGCACUUCACCCUCUAAAGGGUUUGAUAUCUCCGACUCACACUCUUCUGAAAGGUGUGUGUCGCAUGGCACAGAGAUCAGAUUCAGGCGAUCUGAAGGUAUUUACAUCCAACACGUAGCAGCACAACAACACUAUGCAUCAUAAAGAAAAGAGGCGACAGACUGCAGGUUCAGAAGUGCACUUAUUGCUGAACUCUAAUAUCUGAUCAAUACGAUGAAGAGCAGCAGUCUGUCCAACACUUGAAACUAAAUCAGGUGCUACAUCAUUUUUUUUUGUCCUUUAGAUAGAAUAAUGACACUACCUUUAUCAUAGUAAUUAUAUAUAUAUAUAGAUAUCUUUUUUCAUAAAAAACAACAGAAAUGAUAAGAGCUGUCUCUCAUGUGUUGGUCCCUUAAGGCUCGGCUGAAACGUCCUUUUGAAAUCUGGUGGUUUUUACAUUCUAGUAGAAAAAGACCUCGCCACGAAAAAAACAAUAAAACAAUAAAACAAUAAACAACUGGAAAAUCUAUGGCUUAGUAAAUCUCCGUUUGCUAUAUUUAGAUGGAUGUCGUCUCAGAGAAGAACCAAACACUGAAAUGUCCCGUUUGUGGAGAGGCGGAGUUGGAUUUAUGGCACCAGAGUGGGCGGGGGGGGUGCAUAGUCCACGUGCGCAGAUCAGUGUGCACGUGAGGGUGUGUGUUGAAGUCCACGUGCGCAGAUCAGCGUGCACGUGAGGUUGUGUGUUGAAGUCCACGUGCGCAGAUCAGCGUGCACGUGAGGUUGUGUGUUGAAGUCCACGUGCGCAGAUCAGCGUGCACGUGAGGGUGUAUUAAAGCACGGUGUAAGGCAUGGCGGCAGCUGAGAGCACAGUCUCUGUUUCUGAAGGUUUUGCAUAUGUUGCAGCAUGUUGCCCAGAAUGAAUGAGGUCAUCGCGUCCACUUUCUGUCGCUAAGUAAGAAAAGAAAACCUUAAAAAAUGACUCAAUAAAUUAAACUGAGCUGUCCGCCUCCCUGCGUGUGAAAUAAAAA